UGCAGUCGAGGGGUAUAGUUCUUCGGAGCUAGAGACCGGCGCACGGGUGCGUAACGCGUAUGCAACCUACCUUUCACAGAGGGAUAGCCCAGAGAAAUUUGGAUUAAUACCUCAUAGUAUAAUGAUGUGGCAUCACAUUAUUAUUAAAGUUCCAACGGUGAAAGAUGGGCAUGCGUCCCAUUAGCUAGAUGGUAAGGUAACGGCUUACCAUGGCUACGAUGGGUAGGGGUCCUGAGAGGGAGAUCCCCCACACUGGUACUGAGACACGGACCAGACUCCUACGGGAGGCAGCAGUGAGGAAUAUUGGACAAUGGGCGCAAGCCUGAUCCAGCCAUGCCGCGUGCAGGAUGAAGCAUCUAUGGUGUGUAAACUGCUUUUGUACGARAAGAAACAGCUCUUCGUGAAGAGCCUUGACGGUAUCGUAAGAAUAAGGAUCGGCUAACUCCGUGCCAGCAGCCGCGGUAAUACGGAGGAUCCAAGCGUUAUCCGGAAUCAUUGGGUUUAAAGGGUCCGUAGGCGGGCCAGUAAGUCAGUGGUGAAAUCUCCCGGCUCAACCGGGAAAUGGCCAUUGAUACUGCUGGUCUUGAAUUAUUAGGAAGUAACUAGAAUAUGUAGUGUAGCGGUGAAAUGCUUAGAGAUUACAUGGAAUACCAAUUGCGAAGGCAGGUUACUACUAAUGGAUUGACGCUGAUGGACGAAAGCGUGGGUAGCGAACAGGAUUAGAUACCCUGGUAGUCCACGCCGUAAACGAUGGAUACUAGCUGUUGGGCGCAAGUUCAGUGGCUAAGCGAAAGUGAUAAGUAUCCCACCUGGGGAGUACGUUCGCAAGAAUGAAACUCAAAGGAAUUGACGGGGGCCCGCACAAGCGGUGGAGCAUGUGGUUUAAUUCGAUGAUACGCGAGGAACCUUACCAAGGCUUAAAUGUAGAUUGACCGUUUUG
rnacentral:rRNA from 1 species